rnacentral:rRNA from 1 species
UCACGCCCUCGCUCUGGACGCUCCCGCCUGCGCCCUGCCCCACAGACCGGCAGACGCGAGUCUGCCUCCUUCUCAAGGUUGACCUCGGAUCAGGUAGGACUACCCGCUGAACUUAAGCAUAUCAAUAAGCGGAGGAAAAGAAACCAACAGGGAUUGCCCCAGUAACGGCGAGUGAAGCGGCAACAGCUCAGAUUUGGAAUCUGGCCCCCAGGGCCCGAGUUGUAAUCUGGAGAGGAUGCUUCUGGCGCGGCGCCUUCCGAGUUCCCUGGAACGGGACGCCGGAGAGGGUGAGAGCCCCGUACGGUUGGACGCCUAGCCUUUGUGAAGCUCCUUCGACGAGUCGAGUAGUUUGGGAAUGCUGCUCAAAAUGGGAGGUAAAUUUCUUCUAAAGCUAAAUACCGGCCAGAGACCGAUAGCGCACAAGUAGAGUGAUCGAAAGAUGAAAAGCACUUUGAAAAGAGGGUCAAACAGUACGUGAAAUUGUUGAAAGGGAAGCGCCCGUGGCCAGACUUGUGCCCCGCGGACCACCCGGCGCCCUCAGCGCCGGUGCACUCCGCGGGGCGCAGGCCAGCAUCGGUUUUCCUAGGGGGAUAAAGGCGGCGGGAACGUGGCUCCCUCGGGAGUGUUAUAGCCCGCCGCGCCAUGCCCCUGGGGGGACCGAGGACC